rnacentral:rRNA from 1 species
GACGAACGCUGGCGGCGUGCUUAACACAUGCAAGUCGAACGAGAGGACAAGAGAAGCUUGCUUCUUUUGGAAUCGAGUGGCAAACGGGUGAGUAACACGUAAACAACCUGCCUUCAGGAUGGGGACAACAGACGGAAACGACUGCUAAUACCGAAUACGCUUGGAAGACCGCAUGAUUUUCCAAGGAAAGGGUGGCCUCUACCUGUAAGCUAUCGCCUGAAGAGGGGUUUGCGUCUGAUUAGGCAGUUGGUGAGGUAACGGCCCACCAAACCUACGAUCAGUAGCCGGUCUGAGAGGAUGAACGGCCACACUGGAACUGAGACACGGUCCAGACUCCUACGGGAGGCAGCAGUGGGGAAUCUUCCGCAAUGGGCGAAAGCCUGACGGAGCAACGCCGCGUGAGUGAUGACGGCC